rnacentral:rRNA from 1 species
UACCGGAUAUUAUGAUUGGGUCGCAUGAUCUGGUUAUGAAAGCUAUAUGCGCUGUGAGAGAGCUUUGCGUCCCAUUAGUUAGUUGGUGAGGUAACGGCUCACCAAGACGAUGAUGGGUAGCCGGCCUGAGAGGGUGAACGGCCACAAGGGGACUGAGACACGGCCCUUACUCCUACGGGAGGCAGCAGUGGGGAAUAUUGGACAAUGGACCAAAAGUCUGAUCCAGCAAUUCUGUGUGCACGAUGAAGUUUUUCGGAAUGUAAAGUGCUUUCAGUUGGGAAGAAGAAAGUGACGGUACCAACAGAAGAAGCGACGGCUAAAUACGUGCCAGCAGCCGCGGUAAUACGUAUGUCGCAAGCGUUAUCCGGAUUUAUUGGGCGUAAAGCGCGUCUAGGCGGAAAAAUAAGUCUGAUGUUAAAAUGCGGGGCUCAACUCCGUAUUGCGUUGGAAACUGUUUUUCUAGAGCACUGGAGAGGUGGGCGGAACUACAAGUGUAGAGGUGAAAUUCGUAGAUAUUUGUAGGAAUGCCGAUGGAGAAGUCAGCUCACUGGACAGAUACUGACGCUAAAGCGCGAAAGCGUGGGGAGCAAACAGGAUUAGAUACCCUGGUAGUCCACGCUGUAAACGAUG